rnacentral:rRNA from 1 species
CCUACGGGGGGCAGCAGUGAGGAAUAUUGGUCAAUGGACGAGAGUCUGAACCAGCCAAGUAGCGUGAAGGAUGACUGCCCUAUGGGUUGUAAACUUCUUUUAUAUGGGAAUAAAACGUUCCACGUGUGGGAUUUUGUAUGUACCAUAUGAAUAAGGAUCGGCUAACUCCGUGCCAGCAGCCGCGGUAAUACGGAGGAUCCGAGCGUUAUCCGGAUUUAUUGGGUUUAAAGGGAGCGUAGGUGGAUUGUUAAGUCAGCUGUGAAAGUUUGCGGCUCAACCGUAAAAUUGCAGUUGAAACUGGCAGUCUUGAGUACAGUAGAGGUGGGCGGAAUGCGUGGUGUAGCGGUGAAAUGCUUAGAUAUCACGAAGAACUCCGAUUGCGAAGGCAGUUCACUGGACUGCAACUGACACUGAGGCUCGAAAGUGUGGGUAUCAAACAGGAUUAGAUACCCUGGUAGUC